rnacentral:rRNA from 1 species
AUCUCUUCGGAGUGAAGCGAGUGGAACGAGCGGCGGACGGGUGAGUAACACGUGGGCAACCUACCUAUAAGACUGGGAUAACUCCGGGAAACCGGGGCUAAUACCGGAUAACACUUUUCUUCACAUGAAGGGAAGUUGAAAGAUGGCUUCUUGCUAUCACUUACAGAUGGGCCCGCGGCGCAUUAGCUAGUUGGUGAGGUAAGAGCUCACCAAGGCGACGAUGCGUAGCCGACCUGAGAGGGUGAUCGGCCACACUGGGACUGAGACACGGCCCAGACUCCUACGGGAGGCAGCAGUAGGGAAUCUUCCGCAAUGGACGAAAGUCUGACGGAGCAACGCCGCGUGAACGAAGAAGGUUUUCGGAUCGUAAAGUUCUGUUGUUAGGGAAGAACAAGUACCGUUCGAAUAGGGCGGUACCUUGACGGUACCUAUCGAGGAAGCCCCGGCUAACUACGUGCCAGCAGCCGCGGUAAUACGUAGGGGGCAAGCGUUGUCCGGAAUUAUUGGGCGUAAAGCGCGCGCAGGCGGUUUCUUAAGUCUGAUGUGAAAUCUUGUGGCUCAACCACAAGCGGUCAUUGGAAACUGGGGAACUUGAGUACAGAAGAGGAGAGCGGAAUUCCACGUGUAGCGGUGAAAUGCGCAGAUAUCAGGAGGGA